rnacentral:rRNA from 1 species
AUUGAACGCUGGCGGCAUGCUUUACACAUGCAAGUCGAACGCCCCGCAAGGGGAGUGGCAGACGGGUGAGUAACGCGUGGGAAUCUACCUAGUUCUACGGAACAACAGAGGGAAACUUCUGCUAAUACCGUAUACGCCCUAUGGGGGAAAGAUUUAUCGGAAUUAGAUGAGCCCGCGUAAGGUUAGCUAGUUGGUGAGGUAAUGGCUCACCAAGGCGACGAUCUUUAGCUGGUCUGAGAGGAUGAUCAGCCACACUGGGACUGAGACACGGCCCAGACUCCUACGGGAGGCAGCAGUGGGGAAUAUUGGACAAUGGGCUCAGGCCUGGUCCAGCCAUGCCGCGUGAGUGAUUAAGGCCUUAGGGUUGUAAAGCUCUUUCAGUAGGGAAGAUAAUGACGGUACCUACAGAAGAAGCCCCGGCUAACUUCGUGCCAGCCGCCGCAGUAAAAC